AUGAAGAAGAUGAAGACCAGCCCCAAAUGGACAAGAAGAAGAAGAAGAAGAGCAAGCUCCAGAUUUCUCCAAUGGUUUCUCUGGAUCUGGAGCUGCAUGUUUCUUAUCUGCUGUUAUUGGCCUCAGCGACCUCCACAGUCUUCAUGUUCUCUUCCUCCUCUCUACCCUCAACCCAACCACAGUUGUUUUUUUUUUUUACUUCCCAGAUGGGAGGUUUUUUUUUUCCUCACCCCAAUUGGAGUUUUUUUUUUGUACUUCCCAACAACAGGAAGUUUUUUUUUUCCUCCACACUGGUACCACAUGCUUGAUUUGAUCAUACUGCAAAAAGAGAAAUCCUCAAAUAAAAAUCAAAACAACACAAUAGAACUGUAUCUUUUUGUUUAAAAGUGUAACAUAAUGAACCCUUCCAUUUAUGCUUAUUUUUGGACAACGUGUUCUGUGGUUAGAAAAUUAUAUUAGUCUAAAAAACAUGGUUUCAAACCACAGGUUUCUCAAAAACACCUGGACUCCAUCUUAAAACUACACAGCAUUUGAACAUACUGCUGGGUGUGUAAUAACUUGGAGUAAAUACACAAGAUAGUAAAUGUUUGACAGUAAAAUUAGACUUUUUUUUGCUGCACAUUAAGGACUAAAAAUGGUAAAUAAUUUCUGUAUAACUUGGUGUCAGAUGUUUAAGAAACAAGAUGGCGAUUGGGCCACGUUUCAUAAAAUGCUCCAAAUAUCA